CCUCCGUCGGCCAGGAGAGGUAGGGCGCGGGGGUAUUGUGACAUGCUCCAGGAAGGGCAGCUUUUCUCUCGGCCAACAGAGGCCGGAGGCCAUUGGGGCAAGGGAGCCGGCUGGGCAUGGAGCAGCCGAUUGGGGCGCAGCCCUCGGAGGGCCCUCAGGAGGAGUCCGCUGAGGAGCAGGAGGACAUGCCGGCCCCGUCUGCCGAAGGUCGUGGCCAGGUGCUGCUGAUAGGCGGGUACUGGAAGCAGGACGAGUGCUGUGCGACCCUGCAGGACUUCGGCGGAUCCUCGUCCCGCCGCGCCACCAUCCGUCCCAGCAGCUCCACUGACUGCGCCAGGAGGGGUCUCAAGCGCUCAGGCGACAGCGUGGCGCACGGCUCUGACGGCCCGGCGGCCAAGUCCCCGCGCUUGGAGGAGAAGCCGCAGCGCGCCAAGCCCAAGCCCCAGGCCCAGCCCGCGGACGCGAGAGAGCACCAGACGGCCGGAGCUCCGCCCGAGACCCCCGGCUCGGCGGAGCGGGGGGCGAACCUGGUCCUCGUGCUGUGCAGCGCGCGUGCGCUUUGCACGCAGCUGCUGCGGGUGCAGCUGCUGCUGGGCAAGGUGCGUGCCCGGCAGCGCCGCCCACCCACGGCGCUCCUCGGGGUCGUCGUGCAGCCGCGGCCGGAGGAGGAGGCCGAGGCGCGCCGCCGCCUGGAGAGCCUGCUCUGCAGCGUCUUCGCGCCGCACGGCCGGGCCGCGGAGGUGCACACCGCGGUGUUCCGCCCCGGCCGCGCUCAGGGCAGCCUGGACGUGCAGCGCGCCGCCAGCCAGGCGCCCGGAGUCCACCUGGUGGAUCGCCAGACCCAGACGGAUGGGCCUGUGACCCCUGCGGGCCCGUGGCCCUGCUCCUGCGUUGCCUGCCCAGGCAGCUCCACUUGCUGGCGUCGCCUGGGGCUUUGCCACAGCCGCAUCUUCGAUGUCCUUCUGCCUCGGGAUUGGCAGGCCAUGCCAGGGAGAGGAUUCCCCAACCUACUCACCUUCUACAGAGCCAUGCCAGGCCCGCCGCUGCCCCUCCUGAGAAGACACUGUGGCUGCAGACCCGGGGUUACUGUUAUUGUUCUAGAACCGUCUCUACCCUGAACCGCGUGCAGUGGCUGGGGAGCCAUGUCCUGGGCCCUUAGAGGCUGAACGAGAGACAGGAAGUGCCGCGUCCCCGGAGGUCCUGGGAGUUUCAGAACGAAACAGUGCUUGGGGUCCAGCUGGACACCUUGGGGUCCCCACGAUAAAACCUCCCAAGAAACACUGCUUCCCUCGUGCUACAAGCCCUCGGGACUGUGGCUGUGGCUCUGGGGGCCCUGGGAGCUGCCUAC